UUGAAAUGCAUGGUUGGCCAAAUCUUUUC
rnacentral:piRNA from 1 species